GCCAAGUAACGGCUAGCUCAGUUGGUAGAGCAUGAGACUCUUAAUCUCAGGGUCGUGGGUUCAUGCCCCACGUUGGGCG
rnacentral:tRNA from 1 species